rnacentral:rRNA from 1 species
UACGUAGGCAGCGAGCGUUGUUCGGAGUUACUGGGCGUAAAGAGUGCGUAGGCGGUUUUCUAAGGUUGGUGUGAAAUCUCCCGGCUCAACUGGGAGGGUGCGCCGAAGACUGGAAGGCUUGAGUAUGGGAGAGGUAAGCGGAAUUCCUGGUGUAGCGGUGAAAUGCGUAGAUAUCAGGAGGAACACCUGCGGUGUAGACGGCUUACUGGACCAUAACUGACGCUGAGGCACGAAAGCGUGGGUAGCAAACAGG